rnacentral:rRNA from 1 species
GAUGAACGCUGGCGGCGUGCCUAAUACAUGCAAGUCGAGCGAACAGACGAGGAGCUUGCUCCUCUGACGUUAGCGGCGGACGGGUGAGUAACAUGUGGAUAACCUACCUAUAAGACUGGGAUAACUUCGGGAAACCGGAGCUAAUACCGGAUAAUAUAUUGAACCGCAUGGUGCAAUAGUGAAAGACGGUUUGGCUGGCACUUAUAGAUGGAUCCGCGCCGCAUUAGCUAGUUGGUAAGGUAACGGCUUACCAAGGCAACGAUGCGUAGCCGACCUGAGAGGGUGAUCGGCCACACUGGAACGGGGACACGGUCCAGAGUCCUACGGGAGGCAGCAGUAGGGAAUCUUCCGCAAUGGGCGAAAGCCUGACGGAACAACGCCGCGUGAGUGAUGAAGGUCUUCGGAUCGUAAAACUCUGUUAUUAGGGAAGAACAAAUGUGUAAGUAACUAUGCACGUCUUGACGGUACCUAAUCAGAAAGCCACGGCUAACUACGUG